CAUUUAUUGUGGUGCAUAGAAUGUCCCUUUAAAAGCUGUAAAGUAAUCAGCCAGAACUCUCUCUGCUGGGAGGAUUUAUAUAGUGGAAAAUAUAUCUGCUAAUUGCCAGUUAUUCUACUAUUCUGGCAUGGAGAUGUGAAGACACUUUGGGACAUAGUGGGGUAAAUAGUGGGGUAAUAGCUGCUUGAUCCAAGGAGACAUCUGAC